rnacentral:rRNA from 1 species
AGCGAACGCUGGCGGCAGGCCUAACACAUGCAAGUCGAACGGACCCUUCGGGGUUAGUGGCGGACGGGUGAGUAACACGUGGGAACGUGCCUUUAGGUUCGGAAUAGCUCCUGGAAACGGGUGGUAAUGCCGAAUGUGCCCUUCGGGGGAAAGAUUUAUCGCCUUUAGAGCGGCCCGCGUCUGAUUAGCUAGUUGGUGAGGUAAUGGCUCACCAAGGCGACGAUCAGUAGCUGGUCUGAGAGGAUGACCAGCCACAUUGGGACUGGGACACGGCCCAAACUCCGACGGGAGGCAGCAGUGGGGAAUCUUGCGCAAUGGGCGAAAGCCUGACGCAGCCAUGCCGCGUGGAUGAUGAAGGUCUUAGGAUUGUAAAAUCCUUUCACCGGUGAAGAUAAUGACUGUAGCCGGAGAAGAAGCCCCGGCUAACUUCGUGCCAGCAGCCGCAGUAACAC